AUGCUAUAGGUUACAUUAAUUUUUCUCAUUUAUUUUCUCAAAUAUAUUUAUUGAGUACCAACCAUGUGACAGAAACUAUUUGAGGGACAUGUAGAUAAUCACUCACCUGAAACUAUAGCACAUGAUCACAUGAAUGCACCUUUCAUGUGUGAGAAAGCUUCAAGUAUUUGAUCACCUUAGUGGAAAUUCUCUGGAAAGAUGACUGACUAGAUUCACAGCUGAACAAAGAGCAUUAUCACUCUGACGUAAAAAUAGCCACACCGCCAUCUUCAGUAUGCACAUGUUAAGCAUCAGUGAACACAUUUGUAGGUCUGUGAAGUUUUGGCGGAAGGAACUUAUCCCAACAGAACCUGUCUGGGUUACGGAAUCUUACUUGCUCAUAUUCUGGGGGGUGUGUAUGUGUGUAGGUGUACACAUGCACUCUGAUUUAUGUUGGGUUCUAACUGAACAUAUCUAUUUAAAUUAAAGCUCCAGAACUUAUGUUUAGGCAAGAAUGUCAGGUUUGAUCCUGUUUCUCCAAACUCCAUUGGCUUUUCAUAAAGCUCCUUUCAAAGACAUAAGAAAGGGCAAACAAAAGACUGAAGCACUAUUUAACACCACAUUUCUUUAACUAUGUAAAAAUAUCUGUAAAAUAUCUAGGGAGAGAUGGUAGAAAAACAAAUGUUCCAUAUUGGAACUUUUAUCUAUGGUAGGAGGAGAGUCAAUAAUUAUUUUUCUUCACCUGUUAAGGGCAACAGUGCCUCAAGGUUACUAUGAAUUGCCCUGAAACUUUUCUUACUCAUUAGAAAACUCUUAUGGUUACUUUUCCAGCAGUAUAGUUCUGGUCUAAUAUAUUGAUGAUGCACACUGUGCUCUGACAUCUAAGAGAUAUCUGCCAUAAACUCUGUAGUCC
rnacentral:lncRNA from 1 species